GUGGGGAAUAUUGGACAAUGGGCGAAAGCCUGAUCCAGCCAUGCCGCGUGUGUGAAGAAGGUCUUCGGAUUGUAAAGCACUUUAAGUUGGGAGGAAGGGCAGUAAGUUAAUACCUUGCUGUUUUGACGUUACCAACAGAAUAAGCACCGGCUAACUUCGUGCCAGCAGCCGCGGUAAUACGAAGGGUGCAAGCGUUAAUCGGAAUUACUGGGCGUAAAGCGCGCGUAGGUGGUUCAGCAAGUUGAAGGUGAAAUCCCCGGGCUCAACCUGGGAACUGCCUCCAAAACUACUGAGCUAGAGUACGGUAGAGGGUAGUGGAAUUUCCUGUGUAGCGGUGAAAUGCGUAGAUAUAGGAAGGAACACCAGUGGCGAAGGCGACUACCUGGACUGAUACUGACACUGAGGUGCGAAAGCGUGGGGAGCAAACGGGAUUAGAAACCCGAGUAGUCC
rnacentral:rRNA from 1 species